AGUGAACGCUGGCGGUAGGCCUAACACAUGCAAGUCGAACGGCAGCAGAGUAAGUGCUUGUUCUUACGGCGGGGGAGUGGCGGACGGUUGAGAAAUACGUGCGAAUUUACUGUUUCGAGGGGGAUAAGGAAGGGACACUUACGCUAUUACCCCAUACGACCUACGGGGGUGAGCAGGGGAUCUUCCGACCUUACAGGAGUGAAUGUGCCGAGGUCGGAUUGGCUAGUUGGCGGGGUACAGGGGCACCAAGGCGUCGCUCGGUAGCUGGUAUGAGAGGAUGAUCAGCCACGCUGGAACUGAGACACGGUCCAGACUCCUACGGGACGAAGCAGUGGGGAAUAUUGGACAAUGGGUGGAAGCCUGAACCUGGCAUACCGAGUGUGUGAAGAAGGCCUUCGGCUUGUAAAGCCCUUUUGUUUGGUAAGAACUGCAGUACGUUCAUACGCCGCUGUUAUGACGCUACCCACAGAAUAAGCACCGGCUAACUUCGUG
rnacentral:rRNA from 1 species